AUGAGUUAGCAUUUUGACACUGCGUUUAAUGUGCGUUUCGCAUCAUCACCUAACGCAGCGAACUUUGCAGUGCGUAAUAAGUAGAAAUGUUAAUAAGAGUGUGCUGUGUAGAUUUAGCAUUAAAGCCUUUCCGCUGUGUGCCAAAUUGAAGCAACCCUACGACGCCGUACGCCUCCAGGGGAAACCCCCCAUUAAACCCACGGAACAGUACGGAAUCAUCGGCCCGGUGUCAUUGAAUGCCGCUUAAGCCUUUCCGAAUUGUUGCGAACCGAAGUUCCCCGGGGGGGGGAGAAGGAAAAGGGUGAUGGGGACGGUGACGCCCGGCCGAAGGGAUUGAGCGGACCGAAACAACCCCGAAGCGGAAUUUGCAAAACUCUUCGCUACUGCAGUCUCACCCACCAUCAAACAUCAAGCCGCCCGUCGACGGUAUUCCUCCCCUCUUCCGUGUGUGUGUGAUGCAGUUGCCGUUCGCGUUGGGCAGGUACACAUCGGACGAACUUCCCGUAACGAACAUACGGUAGCAUGUGGAGGACAACACCUCCACCUGGUGCGUGGAUUCGCCAUGGUUACGCAUGCAUCUUACGGCGCACGCACAUAGCGCCGAUGGUGAACGAUGCUGGCCGAUGUUGGCCGAUUAUCAUAUCGGAGGCGAUGCGUUAAUUCACCUUUCAC